GGGUGUUGCAAGUCUAGUACUACACACAUUUUUAACAUAUACUACUAUAUGCUUUAAAAGAGAAGGGGCAUAAGGAAUUCAUUCCUUUCAUGUUCACGGCUAGAUCAAAAUGAAACCAAACUAAGAGUUUGGUAACUUUAUAUUUAAGUUUGGUGAUUAAGGUCUAGCAGCUUUUGGGUAUUGUUUGAGGUGUUCGUGUGGAUCAACUGUAGAGAUAUUCAUAUUAUUGAAUAUUGUUUUUGUCACACAAGAUUUCAUCUACUUGGAAGGACCCUCAUCUUCUUGAUCCAAGAUAUGAUACCAUUAAUUAUGAACUUAACUUUUUAGCAAUCCACGACAGAACUAGACUCCUUAGUUUAAGUAUUUAGCCAACGAAUAGCAAAAAAUUGGAAGUGAAGGUUCGAGUUGGGUGUUUACAUAUUCAAACGGGAAAACAGGUUAAACAAUAUCAUUCACUUUGUGUUAUAUAGAUAUAACUUGAUGACUUUUAUCCAUAAUUAUUAUGAUAGGCUGAUAUGUACAAAAGUAUCAAAUGACUACAUCUAUCAACAAGUAAGUUAUCUCAGCAACAUUAUAUAUCAUGAAAACAACUUCAUAAUGAUCCAUAUGUACUACCAUAUCGAAACAUAUUUCACCGUUUCAGAAAUACAUUGAUAUACGAAAGUUUUAACAAGUGACAUGAAUUUCCAGAUUUAAGUCGAAUUCUAACCUUCGCUCUGAUACCACUGAUGCCCAGAUCAAAAAGUGAAAUCCUAAGGAGAGGAUUCAUACAAGGACAAAUGCCAAAGCUCUAUAUGCAACUUCUUUGUGAUAGCAAUAUAGCAUUGCUUUGGUGAACUUCUGAUUUUUAGGUAUCUACUUUAUCUAAGACUUAUGAUACUGUGAUAGAGAGUCUAACACUCUAACUUCUUAUUUCUUAAUGAUCUAAUGCAGGCCCCGAAAUUACUAACCUUGUAAUGGUUCAUAGUAUUCUGUAAUAUAUGCUGUCUAUACAACAUCAAUAUAUCACACCACAAUUCUGGUCCCUUUAUAUAUUACA